ACUUAUCCUCAACACAAGACAGCAUCUCCUAUCUUCUCUGCCUCCUCCAUGUAGGACCAAUGUAAUAUAUUUCAGUUUCAUCUGUAAUCUUCAGAGACAGUUUAAUUUAAAGUAAAAUUAGGCAAGUAUCAACAAAGUAUUUGCAUGCGAUAAUAAAAUUACUCCAGAAAUCUGCCAGAAGUCCAUAACAGCCUAAUUGUCAGUUAUAAUUUCACUGUGUCUCCUACAGAGAUUAAGGUGUUCUAUUUUUUCAGGGCUAUGUCAAUUCAGAAACCUGGGCAUUGCAAAGAAAGGCAUGUAAAAUGCUUGCUAAUAUACUUUUCAUAUUGAUUUUUAUAUAAAUUAUAAGAACUUUCUGAAGACAUUGUCUAAGAAUAGAUGAAAAACAAGACCCCUCAGCAUGGUCUUACCCACCUUCAGUGCUGUGGGCCCUAAGGCUGAGGAGAUGCAGGGAGCGAGGAAGCAAUAGAGAGGAGCACGGUGUCAGUGAGACUGCUAGGACAAGUGGGGUUAUUCAUUGUUGUAAGAACUAGUGAACAGCAAGUGGUUUUCAUACAGUCUAUAAAGGGGGUAGGUUUGUGUGUGUGUUUUAUUACUGUGAGACUUUUUGUAAUUCAAAGGAGAAAGUGUGAGACAUGGGAAUAGUCUUCUAAGGACUUUAUGACCUCCGUCUAUUACAAUGUCAGCAUAGAAUUCAUACCAUCUUUAUGGUACUUGUGACUUUUAUAUUGAACUAUAAUUCUGUACCCACUUUGAAGUAUUCUAUUCACUGUGGUGAAUUUUAUUCCCAAGUGCUAGGAAGAAAUAACAAUGUGCUCUGAGAUUAACCAACUACUUCAGUGUAAUACUGGUAGACAAAUUAUUAUCAUCUUUUCCAUGCAACAUUCCUUACACCUUGUACAUAAGCUGCAUGCAUUUUGUUCCCAUAAUGCAGAAUCCUAGGAAAUAGCUUAUGCUUUGAGGGAAAAAAAAAUGCCAUCGAGUGCCUUGAAGCCAAAUCAGUGCAGACUUGUGGUCCUGCUACCUGCCACUUCCAGAAUAGCUUUUUGGAUCAGUUCUCCAUGGAAAGAGCCAUCCUCAUGCCUGCUGAAAGUCACAAGGAGAUUCAAAUUCCUGGAGUGCUUGGGAGCCAAACCUCCAGAUCAGGUCCUCAAUGGUUUUUUGGGCCUAGCCAAGAUAAAAUCCCAUUUCAUGGCUCAGAACCACUCAAAGAUGAAGAAAUAAACACCCUAAAUAAAGAAGGCUCAAGUUCAUAUCCA
rnacentral:lncRNA from 1 species